AAUUGAACGCUGGCGGCAUGCCUUACACAUGCAAGUCGAACGGCAGCACGGGUGCUUGCACCUGGUGGCGAGUGGCGAACGGGUGAGUAAUACAUCGGAACGUACCUUAUCGUGGGGGAUAACGCAUCGAAAGCUGUGCUAAUACCGCAUACGCCCUGAGGGGGAAAGCGGGGGAUCGCAGGACCUCGCGCGAUUGGAGCGGCCGAUGUCAAAUUAGGUAGUUGGUGAGGUAAAGGCUCACCAAGCCGACGAUCUGUACCUGGUCUGAGAGGACGACCAGCCACACUGGGACUGAGACACGGCCCAAACUCCUACGGGAGGCAGCAGUGGGGAAUUUUGGACAAUGGGCGCAAGCCUGAUCCAGCCAUUCCGCGUGCAGGACGAAGGCCUUCGGGUUGUAAACUGCUUUUGUACGGAGCGAAAAGCCUUGAGUUAAUACCUCGAGGUCAUGACGGUACCGUAAGAAUAAGCACCGGCUAACUACGUG
rnacentral:rRNA from 1 species